rnacentral:rRNA from 1 species
GAUGAACGCUGGCGGCGUGCCUAAUACAUGCAAGUCGAGCGAACAGACGAGGAGCUUGCUCCUCUGACGUUAGCGGCUGACGGGUGAGUAACACGUGGAUAACCUACCUAUAAGACUGGGAUAACUUCGGGAAACCGGAGCUAAUACCGGAUAAUAUAUUGAACCGCAUGGUUCAAUAGUUAAAGACGGUUUUGCUGUCACUUAUAGAUGGAUCCGCGCCGCAUUAGCUAGUUGGUAAGGUAACGGCUUACCAAGGCAACGAUGCGUAGCCGACCUGAGAGGGUGAUCGGCCACACUGGAACUGAGACACGGUCCAGACUCCUACGGGAGGCAGCAGUAGGGAAUCUUCCGCAAUGGGCGAAAGCCUGACGGAGCAACGCCGCGUGAGUGAUGAAGGUCUUCGGAUCGUAAAACUCUGUUAUUAGGGAAGAACAAAUGUGUAAGUAACUAUGCACGUCUUGACGGUACCUAAUCAGAAAGCCACGGCUAACUACGUG